rnacentral:lncRNA from 1 species
UGCUAUUAUGUGUAAAAUACUAUAAGAAAGAAGUAUUUUAAAAUGCACCUCUGCAGCUCAGCAGGGGACGGGGACUCGUGGGCCGUCCAGCCUCCAGCUGUUUACUUACACAACGGAUCUUGCUUACCUUCAUUCUUGGUUCUCUGCUGGACUAUUUUUGUAGCACUGAAACAGAACUUGGCCCUUAAACAGGAAAUGUCUGCACCUGUUGUCAACAAAAUGUGAAAGUUCUCAGAAUCAAAAUUGCUUGUGUCAACGCUACCAAAACAAAUACGCCUGGAAAGUAAUAAAUGAAGAGUUCUUACACAUGACUGCUGGAUAGUGAUCAUCACAAAUGGCUCUGCCAGAACCACAACUUUACACCCAGAAAGUGCUUCUCCGAGAACAUCUGCCUAGCGACUCCGUUCAACUCCACUCUUGUUACUGCUCUUUACGACCAAGGACUAUUAUUUCAAAAUAUCUGCUGUAAUCUUUUCCAUUGCUGUCUCUAAAACCUCCUCCUUAACUGAACCUCUUUGAGUAUUUCCAUCAUUUACUACGGCAUAUGUAUGCCCAUUGAACUGCUCUGCCACUCCCAAAUAAACAUCAAUAUUCUUUGAAGAAUCUGUCUUGGGUUUUAUGUAGGUUG